rnacentral:rRNA from 1 species
UACGUAGGUGGCGAGCGUUGUCCGGAUUUACUGGGCGUAAAGAGCGCGCAGGCGGUCGUACAAGUCGCGUGUGAAAGCCCCCGGCUCAACUGGGGAGGGUCACGCGAUACUGUUCGACUCGAAGGCAGGAGAGGGAAGCGGAAUUCCCGGUGUAGUGGUGAAAUGCGUAGAUAUCGGGAGGAACACCAGUGGCGAAGGCGGCUUCCUGGCCUGUUCUUGACGCUGAGGCGCGAAAGCUAGGGGAGCAAACGGG